ensembl:lncRNA
CAUAGGUGCCAAGAGUUGUGCACGGGACACUAGGCAACUCGCUCCAAGGCCAACCAUGUGCUUCCCCGCAGCGCCCUGAGCUUCACGCCUCGGACAGCGCCUGGUACACUUUCCCGCUCUUCCCGUCGGGAGGUGGUAUCCUCAGGGUACCCGGCCGCCCGUCCCAGGCCAAUCGAAUCGCACUCGGAGCCGAAAGAGGAGGGACGGAGUCAAGAAAGGGAUAUCCUUAUUGGAGCGUUCGAAAAGCCCUGGGCAGAGAGGCGGGGACGCCGCGGAUGGUGACCCCGCCCAUCCCGCGAUCACCAUAGUAACCGAGAGGUCACUGCUCGGAGUUGGUUCCAGCGCUCUAGCCUUGCGCUGUCCCUCAAGAGGUGACCAGAUCCAUGGAGCUCACCCUCGAUGGACCCUUCGGUUAGGUGGUUCUGAAAAGUCCUCUUGUUUCUUCGCCAAACUCACAAGUCACUAGAUCUAACCUACACUCCAGGGGAAGAGGAUGACUCAGAACAUGAUUAUCAGGAGCCAAUAGCAUUGAGCACAUUCACACUGAUGGGCCCAUCCCCAGUAUCCAUCUCCAGAACUUUUCCAUCUUUCAAAACUGAAACUCUGUACCCAUUGAACUCUCACUCCCCGUCACUCCUCCCCCCAGCCCCUGGCCACCACUAGCUUAUGUAUCUAUAAAUUUGCAAUAAGUACCUUACAUAAAUGGAAUCAUA